rnacentral:rRNA from 1 species
AACGAACGCUGGCGGCAGGCCUAACACAUGCAAGUCGAACGGGCCCCUUCGGGGGUCAGUGGCAGACGGGUGAGUAACACGUGGGAACGUGCCUUUCGGUUCGGAACAACUCCGGGAAACUGGAGCUAAUACCGGAUACGCCCCUUGGGGGAAAGAUUUAUCGCCGAAAGAUCGGCCCGCGUCUGAUUAGCUUGUUGGUGAGGUAACGGCUCACCAAGGCGACGAUCAGUAGCUGGUCUGAGAGGAUGAUCAGCCACACUGGGACUGAGACACGGCCCAGACUCCUACGGGAGGCAGCAGUGGGGAAUAUUGGACAAUGGGCGCAAGCCUGAUCCAGCCAUGCCGCGUGAGUGAUGAAGGCCCUAGGGUUGUAAAGCUCUUUCGGCGGGGACGAUAAUGACGGUACCCGCAGAAGAAGCCCCGGCUAACUUCGUGCCAGCCGCCGCAGUAAAAC